rnacentral:pre_miRNA from 2 species
UUUGGCACUAGCACAUUUUUGCUUUGAUUUGUAGCUUUUGAGCAAUUAUGUGUAGUGCCAAUAU